rnacentral:rRNA from 1 species
GACGAACGCUGGCGGCGUGCUUAACACAUGCAAGUCGAACGAUGAACUUGGAGCUUGCCCUGGGGGGUUAGUGGCGAACGGGUGAGUAACACGUGAGUAACCUGCCCUGGACUCUGGGAUAACUUCGAGAAAUCGGAGCUAAUACCGGAUAGGACCUUGCACCGCAUGGUGUGGGGUGGAAAGUUUUUCGGUUUGGGAUGGACUCGGAGGCCUAUCAGGUUGUUGGUGAGGGAAUGGCUCAACAAGGCGUCGACGGGUCGCCGGACUGAGAGGGUGACCGGCCACACGGGGACUGAGACACCGCCGAGAAGCCUACGAGAGGCAGCAGUGGGGAAUAUUGCACAAUGGGCGCAAGCCUGAUGCAGCAACGCCGCGUGCGGGAUGACGGCCUUCGGGUUGUAAACCGCUUUUAGUAGGGAAGAAGCCUUCGGGUGACGGUAACUGCAGAAAAAGGACCGGCUAACUACGUGCAAGCCGCCGCAGUAAUAC